AAUAUAUUAAGGUAUGGUAAGGUACAGUAUAGUAAGGUAUAAUAUAUUAUGGUAUGGUAAGGUACAGUAUAGUAAGGUAUAAUAUAUUAAGGUAUUGUAAGGUACAGUAUAGUAAGGUAUAAUAUAUUAAGGUAUGGUACAGUAUAGUAAG